CUUUUAAAGGAAACAAGCGCUCCGCUGGGCUUAGGAGCCA
rnacentral:tRNA from 1 species